rnacentral:lncRNA from 1 species
GCACACCAGACAUCUUCCCAAUAUUUCCCGCCAAAACCACUCGUCUUCUACUGAACCAUUUUCCCCCAAUUUUCGACGAUAUCCGCAAACCCUAGUCGCAACGAGUUUUACCCGACCUCACGAUUUAAAGCACAUCGCAAGCAUCGUUCUUCGAUUCGUCCGUAAUAGUAUAUAAGUAUGUAUUUAUAUACGCGUGAGCCGGGGUUAGUUUUUUUUUGUCAAGCACUGAAGAUUAUAUUCUAGUCAAAUUAAUCUUACAGUUUUGGUCUUUCGAUCUUAUAUUUGUAAUUUCUGAGCAUCCUAUUGUUUUUUUGAAUAACCUGCCUUUUUUGUUUCGUUUUUAUUUUUGUUUGUAUCAAGAAUCUGCGAGCAUCAUAUUGUUUGUGCCAACUGCCAAGAAUUUCCCUGCAAUACAGCAUAUGCGUGUGCAUAAAUGUGUAUAUCUCUGUGUGUUUGUGUGACUGAGUCCAGGUUAGGGUUAUUUGUAAAGCACUGAAGACUAUUAUACAGUCAAUUAAUUGUACAGAAUGUUCUUUCAUUUUUAUAUUUGUGAUUUCUGAGCAUCCUAUUGUUUUUUUUUUUGUAGAAUUUGCAUUUUUUGAUUUGGGCAAAGUGCUAAAACUUGAAAAUGACAAGAGAAGAAGCUGAGAAGGGAAGAGAUAACAUGGAAAUUGACGGAUGCGAGCCUCAAUCUCCACAAGGAAAC